GCUCUGUGGGAUCAGUGGCGAACGGGUGAGUAACACGUGAGCAACCUGCCCCUGACUCUGGGAUAAGCGCUGGAAACGGCGUCUAAUACUGGAUACGAACCACGAAGGCAUCUUCAGUGGUUGGAAAGAAUUUCGGUUGGGGAUGGGCUCGCGGCCUAUCAGCUUGUUGGUGAGGUAAUGGCUCACCAAGGCGUCGACGGGUAGCCGGCCUGAGAGGGUGACCGGCCACACUGGGACUGAGACACGGCCCAGACUCCUACGGGAGGCAGCAGUGGGGAAUAUUGCACAAUGGGCGCAAGCCUGAUGCAGCAACGCCGCGUGAGGGAUGACGGCCUUCGGGUUGUAAACCUCUUUUAGCAGGGAAGAAGCGAAAGUGACGGUACCUGCAGAAAAAGCGCCGGCUAACUACGUGCCAGCAGCCGCGGUAAUACGUAGGGCGCAAGCGUUAUCCGGAAUUAUUGGGCGUAAAGAGCUCGUAGGCGGUUUGUCGCGUCUGCUGUGAAAUCCGGAGGCUCAACCUCCGGCCUGCAGUGGGUACGGGCAGACUAGAGUGCGGUAGGGGAGAUUGGAAUUCCUGGUGUAGCGGUGGAAUGCGCAGAUAUCAGGAGGAACACCGAUGGCGAAGGCAGAUCUCUGGGCCGUAACUGACGCUGAGGAGCGAAAGGGUGGGGAGCAAAC
rnacentral:rRNA from 1 species